ensembl:lncRNA
CUCUGCAGUAACUGCUGAGACCCCACCAAAGAGCAGAAAUUAGGGAGAAAUUUCAGAAGCCAGCUUGGACAUGAUGCUUUCUAUCUGAGUGAACGUGAGGAAAAGAUAAAGGUGAGUGCAAUAGAUGUUGCAGAGGCUGCAUAGCCUGCAGGUCAGUGUGAGCCCACACUGAACACACAUCGGGUCUCUGCACCAGCAAAGUAAUCUGAAGGCAAUUUUGGAGAGCUGCAUGCUCACCAAACACCGAGCUGCCUUUAUCUGAAAUAUAUUGUCUGUGUUAAGGAACUUCAAUACCAGAUGUCUUACGUGCAAGACAGACAGCCGGUUCAACUACAGCAGUACUCCAACAGGGAUGAAUAUCAUCAUGGGGGGGAUUGCAAAGCACAUUAAGGGGGAAAUGGGUGCUGAGAUUUCUUCCUCCUGGUGGUCCCCUGGAAGACAGAGACACGCUGUGGUAGGAGGGCUGAAUGUUGUGGCUGAAGUCAGAGAAAAACCAGGCAGAGAGGAGCCCAGGGAGCACUCUGGAGCAUUGGGGUUGCAGGUCAGUCCCCACAGCACAUACCUCCAUCAGGUGGACAUAGUUUGGUGUCUGAAGAAACAACAGCGAGAUCAAAUAUCCAUUAGAAUGAUUUCUUCUCUUUCCAUGCAUUCCAUCAUGAGCGGUGACAGGAGCUGUAGGGCUCGAGAAUGUCAACCCAUAGGACAUCUCACACCUGGGCUGCCCUUAAGGAGGGAAGGGACGGGCCCAGUAACACACACACUUCAGUGGACGUAGAGCACUGCUAAUCUACAUCAGGACUUACACCAGGGCUCCUAUCUACCCCGGUCCUGCUCUGUCAGGAGCCUGAAUUCCGCGGCAGGCAAAGAGACACUCAUUUGGUGGAGAGCAGGGAUUCCUCUGUGAGCCCCACCAGAUGGAAACCCAUUUUGCUCAGGAACUGCACUGGGAGUUGACACACUUCUUGCAAAACAAGCACAGUGCCAAAUCUCCAGGCAGAAAGCCAUGCUUGAAAAGGGUUUUUUUUUUUUAACAAUGUGCUCUCAUCUGCUUUUUCCUCUUAGCAAAAACUUCCUCACUUACCAGUUUAUAUCUCCCGCUGCCAUAGUUUCCCUUCAGCUUCAUAUCUCAGCUCCUGCUCUGCUCUCUGUGCACAUUUAUACACCAAACACUUUGCAGAAAACUUGAAAGGACUGCAUUGUCCUGCUAAUUGGUUAUAAGCACGUUAUCUGCAAUCUGCUGUCCCUGCCCAGCUAUUGUGCUCCCUUGGGGAUAAAACACACAUUAUUUAUUUGGAAUAAGUGCAUGUUAUGCUUAUAACAAGAUAAGCACAAAACAAAAAAAUUACAAAUUAGAAACAUCAUUUUUCUCUUCACAAUGUUCAAGCUGGGAAUAUAAGCACUUGUACAAUAUAUGCAUGCAUACAGUGAAGGCAUAUAUGCAGGAUCCAUCUGAUUUGCCAGACCUGAAUACCUCAGUUUUGAGAACCACGUGUGCAAAUGCCAAGUAAUCUGACUGCUGCUGAAGGUGGACGUGGUGUAAAUCUGAGACCUCUGCAGGCUGCUGAGGGAUGCUCUGCACGUUAUCACAGCCUCAGAUGACCCUGGAGAAAAUCUCUGAGUGAGGAAAGAGGAUACAACUGGAAAAAAAGAACAGGCUAUGUGAGGAAUAUUUAUAAAACAUUUCUAAUCUCUACUCUCUGCAUAUCUUGAGAGAUGAGGAAAGUGCUUCUUGAGAGAAGGCUCUGUAGGCAGGCUGCAGUAAGGGGUGCUCAAAAUGCACAUCCAUUACUUUUGGGUGGUUUAUCAGUUUCAUUAUCAGAUUCAAAAUUAGAACCCCUUCCUUGUGAGCAGUGGUAAUUGUGUCUUAAAAAGGCACAGUGAAGAAAAUACAGUUGUGUGCAGAUCUGCAGAGCACAAUGGGGCCUCCACUGCCAGCAGGGGUCCCAGGCAUGAUCUCUCCUCUUGGGCAAUUCCAACGGGAGAACCCUGAUAACCCUCAUAUCUAGAUCUGUAAGAGCAACUCAUUGUCCUCUGCUAUCCUGUAAUUUAAAUAACACAUGUAGAGCCAUCAGCAGCCGGCAGACAUAUUGUGCUAUACAGUUGCCUUGCUGUUCAAAUUAACGUAAUUACACGCCCAGUUCUCCUAUUUCAGUUGUAAUAGUGAAAACAGUGAACUUGCUGAUAACAGUGAGUACAAAGGCUCUGUUUUCUAGUUUAAGAGCUAAGCUCUUGUGUCAAAAGAGCAGUUUAAAGUUCACAGCCUGCUCUUAGUGGUCACACUUCAGCCACCAGGUGCACUUACCCAGCUCCACUUUCCUCCUUUCUCUCCAGAAUGCUUUAUGGGGAAGAGGGGGCUGUGUUUCCCUAAAUAAGGCAAAUAUCCUUUAUUCAGCUGGGCACUGGCAUGGAGUAACAUCAGUGUGGUUUCGAUAUGGCUCAAAAGUGUGGGUUGUUAAGCUGUGGUGGAAGGCAGCACGUGAAAGACCCCAGCCCUUCUUUCAUGAAAGGGGAGCUCAGGCCUCAGCCUUGGAUGAAGGCUCCUUGUGCAGCCCUGUACCACUUUGCCCCCUAAAUACAUCACGUGAGCUCUUUGUGCCACCACUUCAUAAACCAGCCAUGGGAAUGGAAGAAGACUGCAGAGACCUCCCCAAAGGGCACCACUGCACUGCCCAGUGCCUGGCUGGAAGAGGCUGCUGAAACAAAGCAUGGGUGUAACUCAAGUUUGGAUUUAGCACUUCCUUUGCCAACAAGCACUGCUAAAAUGGAAACUGCUCAUAACAAAGAACACAAAAGCAAAACUGAAAUCAAAAAAUCCCCAUGAAGUGAUCUCGUAAUUAGCAGCUAUUUCUCAUAAAUAGCCGUUGCCUUCCAAAACUAAUUUCAUUAUGGAUAAGCAUUAGGCAGAUCUUCCCCCCAAUCUGUUUGAGCAGCAUGAAAGCACAGGUUCCUCUCCUCUCCUUGAACUCUUCCCUGUGUCAGUGUCUCCUUGCUAGCCCACAGGGUAACCAUCCAACUCUUGGCUGGCCUAAUGAACUGAACAUCCAGUUUGCUGGCAGCCCCAGAGCUGAUCCAAAGCAAACAGCAACAGCAUGGGGCCGAGCGCUGUGUGCUUUGCCAUGGCUUCACCCAUUUGCAGCCUCCUCACUGCUGAGCUGAGUCCCACCAAAGCCUUACAUCAGCACAUCUUUGGGCCUUGUCAGCUCUUGCCAGUGUCAACUUCGAGCUGUGCUUCUCCAGAUCCAUCUCUGUGUGUCCAUGUAUCUUUAAAAGGACACAAACCCCCCUCUGCAGCCCUCUCCAUGGCAAUCUCACCUACAGAAUCCGCCAACACAAGUUUUCAAUUCUUAUCUGGAAAAGGUUUUGAAAUGGUUUUACUAUUGUGAAACAUUUUACAGGGAAGUCUGGAUUCCUUGAAUAGAUAUCUGAAUUGACGGUUGAAGCUCCAGGACAUGCCUUUGCUGCAUUUCCAGUUCUCCUCCUCCACCACUAAAGUUUUCCCCAUGCAAUCUAAGAUCCUUCAUCAACUAGAAAAAUUAGAAGAAGUCAACUGAAUCAUCACAAGAUCACGUCCAUGUGUAGCAAAACUGUUUUAAGUGUCUCCUCCCCUGUUUUGCUGUGCUGCGCAGUUUGUCAUCCCCUCAGCUGUGCCCCCCCAUUCUGGUGUCCCUGCUGAGAAACAGCUUCCAGAAAACAGUCAGUUCAAACUUUUUUAUAAGUGCUUUUUUUUUUACCUUCUUCUGUGAUCUAUCUAUCUUUGUACUGUGGCCCCAGUUGUCCCGGUCAGCUCCAGCACAGCGUGGGAGGGGAUGGCCAGGCACUGCUCUGCCCCAGCUCCAAAGGAACCGUGGUAAAAGAAGCAACUCCAAGGGGGUUACAAGGAGGAGCUUGCAAGGCCUCCUGGCUCCUCUGCAGAGCUUCUCCCUCCUGUCAAAUGAUCCACUCAUCCUCCCCAGCUCAGAAAUCCUGCCCAUGCUGAUUUCCAGUUAAAGGAAGACCAACGACUCUACACAUCCACUUGGAAACACCAUCUGAAAUGUUGCGGAUCCCUCAACACUGUGCACUCAGAUCUGGGAAGAAAUACGAGUCCUCAACAGGACUCAAAGCACCUUUGUGAAGGCUCUUUCUAACUGUUGACAUUCUAUGUUCUGUUUUCAAAUGCACUUUAUUUGCAUUACCUGAAUAAACCUUCUGUUAAUAAGUUACCUAGCAGCUCUGAGUGAUCAGAACAGUAGUUAAUCUGCUGAUAAUGUUGAUAUUCAGGCAAAUAAGAGUAGCGACUGAACAAAGUUGAAUACAAGUUGGGAAUGCUUUGCUUGCUGAGAGGUCUCUAGUUUGCUUACGUGUUAACUCACAUCUCAGCUAAUGAGAAAAAACAAGUAUUGGGAGUUAUUCAAAACGAAGCUCUGGGCUGCAUGCAGCAAACACACAGCUCUGAUACUGAUUGUUAAAAAUACUUUGUUCUCUACCUUAGGAGUUUAGGAAUUAGCUGUUUAUUAUCGGGGAUCUUUCUGAACAUCCUUCCCAAGUAAAUAAGGAAAUCCUUCUUAAAAGAGUCUGAAGAAGUGUUUGUUAAACCUUUUUGUUCCCAGACACUCCAGUUCUCCUCUCGCACACCGAUGUCAGCUUGAGUUCAACCUGAAAAAACCGAGCAUGGCAAAGCAAAAACCCGAGCCCUGAGAGCAAACACCCUGCAGCUCAGUGAAGCACGCAGCAGUUUGCUUUCAGUCCACUAUUGCUAUAGUUAUAUUUUUCAGUUAAACAUUACACAACUUUGGAGUAGGAAUGGUGAAAAUAAAGGCGUGUUGACCCAGGAGACAGCUCCCCUUUCAGUGCUCCCUUCUGCCCUUUCUGUUUUCUGUGUUUCAGUGCUGUUCAAGCCCAGAAACUCACCUUGCACCUGGCAACAUCUGCCACCUGUAAAUGCUGGAGCUUCACAGGUCCCCUCCAUGCAGCAGUCGGGCCACAGAGCUGUACUGAUCCUCGGUUUGCUGGUAGAUAUGGGGAGAUUCUGCUCCUCACUGCAGAAAGACUCAUUUUUCAGGGCAGAAGGAAAAUGCAUUUGCUAUUCAGCAUCACUGAAGACACAAACUGAAGAUCCACAUAAGCAAUAAGGUAUUUCUGCACCUCCUGCAAGACAUAUAUGCAACACCUUCUAUAAUAUUAAAGCGUGUGCAAUUUUAUCACUACUGUGAUAUCACUGGCGUGUUCCCU